GAAAUGCGAUAAGUAAUGUGAAUUGCAGAAUUCAGUGAAUCAUCGAAUCUUUGAACGCACAUUGCGCCCGCCAGUAUUCUGGCGGGCAUGCCUGUUCGAGCGUCAUUUCAACCAUCAAGCCCCCGGGCCUGUGUUGGGGACCUGCGGCUGCCCGCAGGCCCCGAAAACCAGUGGCGGGCUCGCUGUCACCCCGAGCGUAGUAGCAACACCUCGCCCAGGGAGUGCCGCGGGUUCCGGCCGUAAAACCUCGCCCUCGCGGCGAGAACAUCCCCCCCCAAGGUUGACCUCGGAUCAGGUAGGAAGACCCGCUGAACUUAAGC
rnacentral:misc_RNA from 1 species